GGGAUUUUUAACACUUCGGACAAGAACUAAAAAAGGCUUUCACUAAUGUCAAUGAAACUUUGAUGAAUUGUUUAUAUCUAUUGAUGUAAGAUCCCUUUCAAUUUUUUUUUAUAAAUUUCAGAUUUUAAGUUUUGGAUUUAUGGGGCUUUAUUCAUAAAAAAGGGGGAUUUUAACACUUCGGACAACAACUCAAAAAGGCUUUCACCAAUGUCCUUGAAACUUUGGUGAAUUGUUUAUAUCUAUUGAUGUAAGCUCUCUUUCAAUUUUUAUCAAUUUCAGAUUUUACAUUUCCGUGUUACGAACUUUUAUGCUUAAAAAAGAGGGGAUUUUCCAAUAAAAGACAAGUUAAAAGAGCAACGGGUGUAGCAUGCGCUAAAGCGCAGCACUUUAUU
rnacentral:lncRNA from 1 species